rnacentral:rRNA from 1 species
UACGUAGGGGGCAAGCGUUGUCCGGAUUUAUUGGGCGUAAAGAGCGUGUAGGCGGCCAGACAGGUCCGUUGUGAAAACUCGAGGCUCAACCUCGAGAUGUCGAUGGAAACUGUCUGGCUAGAGUCCGGAAGAGGAGAAUGGAAUUCCUGGUGUAGCGGUGAAAUGCGCAGAUAUCAGGAAGAACACCCGUGGCGAAGGCGGUUCUCUGGGACGGUACUGACGCUGAGACGCGAAAGCGUGGGGAGCGAACAGG